rnacentral:tRNA from 1 species
UCCUUGGAGGUCCAGUGGUUAGGACUUGGUGAUUUCACUGCUGUGGGCCCAGGUUCAAUCCCUGGUUUGGGAA